AUGAACGCUAGCGGCAGGCCUAAUACAUGCAAGGUGAACGGUAAGAGGUGCAGCAAUGUACUUCCAAGAGUACCGCAAGGGUGCGUUAACACGUAUGCAAUCUACCCGCAACAGGAGGACAGCUCCCCGAAAGGGGAAUUAAUACUCCAUAAGAUCACACGAGGGCAUCUGAGAGUGAUUAAACUACAAGGGGUUGCGGAUGAGCAUGCGGAUGAUUAGCUAGUUGGCGGGGUAACGGCCCACCAAGGCGAUGAUCAAUAGGGGUUCUGAGAGGAAGGUCCCCCACACUGGCACUGAGAUACGGGCCAGACUCCUACGGGAGGGCAGCAGUAGGGAAUAUUGGACAAUGGGCGAGAGCCUGAUCCAGCCAUGCCGCGUGCAGGAAGAAGGCCUUCUGGGUCGUAAACUGCUUUUCUCUGGGGAUAAAAAAGACCCCUGCGGGGGUAAAUUGAAGGUACCAGAGGAAUAAGCCACGGCUAACUACGUGCCAGCAGCCGCGGUAAUACGUAGGUGGCAAGCGUUGUCCCGGAAUUUAUUUGGGUUUUAAAAGGGUGCGUAGGCGGCCCUGUAAGUCAGUGGUGAAAUACGGGCAGCUCAACUGUCGAGGUGCCAUUGAUACUGCGGGGCUUGAGUACCGGUGAGGCAGGCGGAAUUGACGGUGUAGCGGUGAAAUGCUUAGAUAUCGUCAAGAACACCGAUAGCGAAGGCAGGCCUUGCUAAUGGGUAACUGACGCUGAGGCACGAAAGUGCGGGGAUCAAACAGGAUUAGAUACCCUGGGUAGUUCCGCACAGUAAACGAUGGUCACUCGGUGUUGGCGAUAUACAGCCAGCGCCUUAGCGAAAGCGAUAAGUGACCCACCUGGGGAGUACGGCCCGCAAGGGUGAAACUCAAAGGAAUUGACGGGGGUCCGCACAAGCGGUGGAGCAUUGUGGUUUAAUUCGAUGGUACGCGAGGAACCUUACCUGGGCUAGAAUGCCCUUGACAGAUUCAGAGAUGGGUUUUUUUUCCGCAAGGACAAGGAGCAAGGUGCUGCAUGGCUGUCGUCAGCUCGUGCCGUGAGGUGUUGGGGUUAAGUCCCGCAACGAGCGCAACCCCUACUUUUAGUUGCCAACAGGGUCAAGCUGGGGACUCUAAAAGGACUGCCUGCGCAAGCAGAGAGGAAGGAGGGGACGACGUCAAGUCAUCAUGGCCCUUACGCCCAGGGCUACACACGUGCUACAAUGGCGUCUACAGAGUGUUGCCAGGCAGUGAUGCCGAGCCAAUCACAAAAAGGGACGUCUCAGUUCGGAUUGCAGGCUGCAACCUCGCCUGCAUGAAGUUGGAAAUCGCUAGUAAUCGCAGAUCAGCAAUGCUGCGGUGUGAAUACGUUUCCCGGGACCUUGUACACACACCGCCCCGUCAAGCCCAUGGAAGCUGGGAGGACCUGAAGGCAGUUGCUGCGAGGCGCUGUUUAGGGUAAAAACCGGUGACUGGGGCU
rnacentral:rRNA from 1 species